rnacentral:rRNA from 1 species
GAUGAACGCUGGCGGCGUGCCUAAUACACGCAAGUCGAACGAAACUUCUUUAUCAUCGAGUGCUUGCACUCACCGAUAAAGAGUUGAGUGGCGAACGGGUGAGUAACACGUGGGCAACCUGCCCGAAAGAGGGGGAUAACACUUGGAAACAGGUGCUAAUACCGCAUAACCAUGAACACCGCAUGGUGUUCAUGUGAAAGGUGGUUUCGGCUACCGCUUUCGGAUGGGCCCGCGGCGCAUUAGCUAGUUGGUGGGGUAAAGGCUUACCAAGGCAAUGAUGCGUAGCCGAACUGAGAGGUUGAUCGGCCACAUUGGGACUGAGACACGGCCCAAACUCCUACGGGAGGCAGCAGUAGGGAAUCUUCCACAAUGGGCGAAAGCCUGAUGGAGCAACGCCGCGUGGGUGAAGAAGGUCUUCGGAUCGUAAAACCCUGUUGUCAGAGAAGAAAGUGCAUGAGAGUAACGGUUCAUGUUUCGACGGUAUCUGACCAGAAAGCCACGGCUAACUACGUGCCAGCCGCCGCCGUAA